CAAAAGUGGGCAAGGAUGACCAAGCCACGCGCAGCGGGCAGAACCCGGGAUCCGGCGGAGGCUGGUUUCCCGGCAGGGGAGGUGAGGGAACGUGGUUGGAAAAAGAAAAGGGGAAGAGUAGGACAUGCUAGGUCCCUGGCCUCUCCCACAGGCGACCCCGCAGCGGUAGGUCAGCUCCACACUUAACCCUCCCCCACCCCAACAGGACCAACCUGUUUGGGGAGUGGGGACAGGGCAACGAAUGGACAUAUUAUUUUCGCCAGCGGGUGAGGCAGUCAUGACGGGACUGUGCAGCGGUCUCUAGAGACCCGGGGCGGAGUAGGAAACAGGCUCCUUUCCAUUCCUGACAUGCCUGGGAGCUAGCUCCGCAGGUGCAGGGAGCGUCACCACCUGGGAGCUGCAGGCAAACACCCCGAGGCGCGGCGGGGAGCAGCGUGGGGGAGGCGUCCUCCACCUUCCUACCCCUCCCCAGUCCUAGCGGGGUGGGGAGGAGGGUCACUGCUAAGGUGGCGCCUCGGGACGGACCGGACGCAGAGCGGGAGCGCCGCGCGGCCUGGCAGAGCUCGGAGGAGGCUAGGUAACCAACCCGGAGGGGCUCGACCCCCGGGGAGCUGGCGCGGCUGCUCAUCCACGCCCAAGUGCCUCCUGGCCGAAGCCCGUUUCCCACCCCUCAGACUUGUGAAAACAGCAGCUCAGGGCCGAGACUGACCGAGAGGUCAGUUUCUGGCCCGUCCGAAGACCCCACCAUCAGCUCGGGCUAGGCUGAGCCCUUUCCUCUGGACUGUUGCAGAAAGGCUUCCGGAGAAGCAAUGGCCGGUGGGAGCCCUGAAGGACAUGCCGGCAGCACAGCCUUCCGCUUCCUAAGAUUCUAUUUCCCUGGAGCUACUUUACAACUCUGUAUACUGGGAUGUCUCGGGGCCUCCUCCUUCCUGCCAUUCCUGCUUCUCCUCCUGCUUGUUCACCCAUAGCCCAGCUCGGGCCCAGUAAGCAGGAAGCCUGGGAGCCAGAGCCCACCUUGGCCCUUGUACAGAGCACAGAGCUCGGCCUGUUGUCCCAGGAACUCAGAGAAUGAAGGUCUGGAAACGUAUUACUGGGGCUCUGAUUUUGCUAACUAGAGGAAACACUUGAAGAUCACUCUUCUGUUUUUACCUCCUCCAGCCUGGUAGGUAGGAGGACAGCAGGAGAGGUCAGGGGCAGGCACAGCAGUGGGCCCAUGUGUGUGGAGGGGGGUGGGGUGGCCCUGUCCCCGGAGCUCACGAGGGGGAGGCGCGGUGCUCCUGGCAUCAAGCACAGGGCAUUGUGUAGGGCACGGCCUGGUACGGGACUUGUCAGCAAGGCCCAGCCCGUGAACACAGCAAACAGCCACCACCACAUCCCCGGCCUGCCUCAGCCCAGGUCCAGCUGCAUAGCCCAGCACCAUGUGGCCGCCUAGCUCGAAGCUGCCAGGGUCGAGUGCCCUGUGCCCCCCCUCUCCCACCCACUCAGGUCUGCUCCCUCCACAUCCAGCAGUCCCGCUACUGUCACUCAAGACUCCAAAUUCUGGCAGGAUCCACCUGCCACCCUUUCCCAGCCCUGUUCCUGCCCGUGCCCGCCCGUGGACGUCCCACAUUCUUUCUUAAGCAAAGUGGCCUGCUCAGCAGGAAAAGUACAACUGUUUCUACUCUCCGCUGCCCUUCCUGCUCUGCCACCACUGACACCUGGCUCCUGUCACCUCCGAUCCUUCCCCAUGCCGCUCUUUAUGUCCUCUCGACUGGCCCCUACCAAACCACCUUCUGUUUCACUUAUUAAAUUCCCUUCUAACCUCACAUCUUCCAAGAAGUCUGUUGGGUUUGCACAGGUUGCUUCUGGGAACGCUGUCAUCAGUAGUCUUGGGGAACCGCUCACGUGGGCACAGCCUUUAUUUACUCUUUGAAAAUACUGUAACAUUUGUCUCCAGAACGCCAUGUGGGGAGAGGUAGCAUCAGCCCCUUGCUUGGCAUUAGUGACUUACUCAGUUCUACCAACUGACAGAUGACCCCCAAGUCCAGUUCAGCAGGUCCCGCAGACCCCAGUUAGCAGCUCACCCUGAGUGCGUGUUUGUGUGCAAGGAGUUAUGAUCUAAGCACCUUCGUGGUGUUGUCAGUGUGCUUGGAGCCAAGGGUUUAUUUUGUCUCCAUGUGGUUGGGAACCUCCAGAGAUCAGGGACUGAACUGUCCUUUCUCUGACAGUCCCUCAGAAUCCAGGAUAGGGUUGUGCCAGCCAGAGGAACUGCGAACGGUGGCAGGGGCAGGCCCCACUCACACCGUGGGUCUUUGCCACGUUCAAGUGCAUGCAGACCCACUGACAGGGAGGUGACAGAAAGGUAACGGAAUCUCUGACAGCAGCUGCCAUGUGCUGGGCAUCGUGCUAGUUCUUUAUUUGUAUCAUUUAAUUCUCACAACAAAUCUCCAAGGGGGGUAUUUUUAUUGGCACUUGAGGAAACUAACAUUCAGAGCCGUGGAGCCGGUGCAGCCCACAUCUGUCUGACUCCAAAAGGAGCACAUAAAUAGCAGAAUUCAAUUUACAUGUAAAACAUAAUAAUCCCUUACUCCCUGAAGACGUGUCCUACCCUUGGCUCUUCCUUUCCCAGGAAAUAAAAGCCAGGAAGAGGAAAGCAGGGUUGGGUGUACCUUGUGCAUAAACACACACACGUUUUCUCUCACACAAACACACACAGAUCACUCAGGCCAUCACCUUCACCCUGGAUUUCCUGGCUGGGGUGAGGGCGAAGAGAGGUAGGGGCAGUUUCCCCAGGACCCAGCCCUCACCCCGUUCCCUGGUGCUAAAUAAAAGUGAAUAAAUACUAAAUAAAUACAAGUGGGGCCCACCCUGCCUUCCCCCUCCCUCCUCUGACCGGCAGGGCAGAGGGAGCAGUGUCGGUGGAGGACUGUCACCCAGUCCGCUC